ensembl:rRNA 5S_rRNA 5S ribosomal RNA
GUCUAUAGCCAUGCCACCCGAAAUGUACCCGAUCUCGUCUGAUCGUGGAAGCUAAGCAGGGUCAAGCCUGGUUAGUACUUGGAUGGGCGACUGACUACCUAGGAAGACGAGAUGUUGUAGGCG